GCGUGCCUUUUGUAGAAUGAACCGGCGAGUUACGAUUUGAUGCAAGGUUAAGCAGUAAAUGUGGAGCCGUAGCGAAAGCGAGUCUGAAUAGGGCGUUUAGUAUUUGGUCGUAGACCCGAAACCAGGUGAUCUACCCUUGGUCAGGUUGAAGUUCAGGUAACACUGAAUGGAGGACCGAACCGACUUACGUUGAAAAGUGAGCGGAUGAACUGAGGGUAGCGGAGAAAUUCCAAUCGAACCUGGAGAUAGCUGGUUCUCUCCGAAAUAGCUUUAGGGCUAGCCUCAAGUGAUGAUUAUUGGAGGUAGAGCACUGUUUGGACGAGGGGCCCCUCUCGGGUUACCGAAUUCAGACAAACUCCGAAUGCCAAUUAAUUUAACUUGGGAGUCAGAACAUGGGUGAUAAGGUCCGUGUUCGAAAGGGAAACAGCCCAGACCACCAGCUAAGGUCCCAAAAUAUAUGUUAAGUGGAAAAGGAUGUGGCGUUGCCCAGACAACUAGGAUGUUGGCUUAGAAGCAGCCAUCAUUUAAAGAGUGCGUAAUAGCUCACUAGUCGAGUGACACUGCGCCGAAAAUGUACCGGGGCUAAACAUAUUACCGAAGCUGUGGAUUGUCCUUUGGACAAUGGUAGGAGAGCGUUCUAAGGGCGUUGAAGCAUGAUCGUAAGGACAUGUGGAGCGCUUAGAAGUGAGAAUGCCGGUGUGAGUAGCGAAAGACGGGUGAGAAUCCCGUCCACCGAUUGACUAAGGUUUCCAGAGGAAGGCUCGUCCGCUCUGGGUUAGUCGGGUCCUAAGCUGAGGCCGACAGGCGUAGGCGAUGGAUAACAGGUUGAUAUUCCUGUACCACCUAUAAUCGUUUUAAUCGAUGGGGGGACGCAGUAGGAUAGGCGAAGCGUGCGAUUGGAUUGCACGUCUAAGCAGUAAGGCUGAGUAUUAGGCAAAUCCGGUACUCGUUAAGGCUGAGC
rnacentral:rRNA from 1 species